GGGAGGGGAGGCCAGGGCAGAGCAGGGCGGCUAGCAGCGCCUCCCGCAGGGUAGACUCAUCCCACAUCUUCACCCCCAAUACUGGGAGGUGGGUGUACAGCUGGAAUCUGGAGGAGGGUCCAGAAGGCCCUAAUAGAAGCAGACUUCAGCAGGCAGCUACUCAGACUCGUGGCCCUGAUAAACAAGUAAAUUUCCUGUGAUGGGUACAAAGUCCAGAGCUGAAGGGAGCUUUGCAGGCCUGAGAAGGAGGUGGGCCGGAACUGCAGGGGGAGGGGGAGAGUGACCUUCCCAGGCAAAGCGAGAUGGACCAGACUCUCUAAAAUUUCCUGCAAGUGUGUGUGUGUGUGUGUGUGUUUACCCAAUUUGGGCCUUCAUCUGGAUCUCAAGGUUCCCUGUGACCCCAUCAACCAAUUCUGGGCCUCUCCAGGGCUGCUCCUUCUUGCCUUGCACCUCAUCCCUGGGCCUGGUGCCUCCUUGUCCUUCAAGAUCCAGUUCAGGAGUCACCUUCCCUGAGCCCUUGAGCCUGCCUGUGAUCUUUGGAUGUGGGGUCUGUGUCUAAAUUCUCAUCAUAUCACCAACUCCAAAAUGGCAACAAUAAAUACUUAUGAAAUGAAUGAGAGGAAAGUCAAUAUUAAUCCAAAUGGAGCAAGAGGCGCCAAGAAAGGUGCAGAAAAUUAGGCUGUGAGAAGGCAAUUGGCCUGAAGUCCUGGAGAAGAAGAAAAUAAGCAAAAGGUCCACACAUCCACCUGUCAAUCCAUAAGUGAAAGAAAAUUUCUUGAAUGCCCAUGAGAGAUCCACAUCCGGUCCAUCCUGCUCACAUUGUAAAACAGCAGAAGGCAAUCUGCUGGAUGCCCCCGUAACCUGGAGAACAGAGAGAAGGCUGGAUAUCAACUUCUGCUGGCUCUUCAGCCAGGAGCUCUGAUGCAGUGAGCAACUUCCAUGACAGCCCUGGCAACCAUGUGGUCCGCUCUGAGCAAGCUACUAGGAUUAGAGUUAGUGUCAUUGUAAAGCUUUUAUUCUAAUGGAGAAGAUGGACAGUACAGAAUUAAAGAAACAAAUAAGACUAUUUCAGAUGGUGGUGAGUGUUAUGGAGAAAAUAGCUUCAUGUGAACAUGAGAAGAGAUUGCUACUUUAGAUGAUCUCACUUAAGAUCAUCUAAAGAGGGGACUCAUUUAAGAGGGAACCUUUGAACCAGGAUCUAGAUAAGAGUAAGAUAGCAACUACACUAAAGUCUGGAGAAAGAGCAUUCCGGGCAGAGGGAACACACAGGAAGACACUAAGAGGUGGGAGCGUGACUGGCUGGUUCAAGUGGACAGAAAGGAGCCUGGGAGUGGAGUGCAGGAAGGUGACUGGGGGAGAGUCCUCAUCCCCCGUGGACCUCAUUCACUGCUGGUUUGCCUCCAGCAGGCCAGGAUAGAGCAGAGAGGCAAGCUAGAGAGCUGGUGCAGUCAUCCAGGGAGAGGAGAUGUUGUUUGGGGGAAGACAAGGGGCCUGGCUGUGGGAGAAAUCCUCAGGUCACAGAUAUAUUUAAAGGUGAAACUGAUAAGACUCGUUGACUGGGUGUGGAUUGGAGUUAAAAAGAAAGAAAAAAAAAACAAGAAUUUUGGGCUGAACAACUGGAAGACUGGAUCUGUGGUUUGCUAAAGCAGGGACAGGAUCUGGAGGGAAAGCAGAACCUGCGAGACAACCCAGUAGCACACCAAGUAGGUGUAGCAUGAACUAGCCUGGAUACACCACCCCCUCGAGUAAGAGAACCAGCAAAAUGUACAUGAUUUUUCAAGUCAGGCAUCUGGGUGAGGAGAGAGGUGGAGAGGAGAGAGAGGCGCUCUGGAAUAGGCCAGGAAGAGAGGUCAAGGUGGGGAGGAAAAGCUGGAAAGAAGCCUAGGGAAUGGCCGGUACAGUAAGAGGCGUCCAGUCCAGAGAAGCAAGCACUGCAAGGGCAAGGGAUUGGUUAUCGAUGUCAAUGCUGCAGAUAGGUCAAUUAACAUGCGGGCUGAGAAUCAACCUUUAAAUUGGCAAAGUGAAAGUCAUGGUUGUUGGGAAAACAUAUAACGGCGGCAGCACCCCCGAGAAAAACUCCAACAUGGCGCCUAACAACCUUCUUUCUCCUUUUUUUUUCUUUCACUGGCGCGAAACGUUCCCGCUGGCGCCAAUGUUCAAACCCUCCUGGUGGGAAGCCCUAGCCCCAAUAAGAAUUAACUUCUUGGGCUCCGGAACUGACAUAUGGAAGAGCUUGCCAAUAAACAGGCGACCUGUUACCUACCUCAGCCCUGCUACCUCUCCUUAGACCUAUAUAAACACACAGCCUUUUGUAAUAAAGCGGAACCUCUUCGGUGA